UACGUAGGGCGCAAGCGUUGUCCGGAAUUAUUGGGCGUAAAGAGCUCGUAGGCGGCUUGUCACGUCGGGUGUGAAAGCCCGGGGCUUAACCCCGGGUCUGCAUUCGAUACGGGCUAGCUAGAGUGUGGUAGGGGAGAUCGGAGUUCCUGGUGUAGCGGUGAAAUGCGCAGAUAUCAGGAGGAACACCGGUGGCGAAGGCGGAUCUCUGGGCCAUUACUGACGCUGAGGAGCGAAAGCGUGGGGAGCGAACAGG
rnacentral:rRNA from 1 species